UACGUAGGUGGCAAGCGUUAUCCGGAAUAAGUGGGCGUAAAGCGCGCGCAGGCGGUUUUUUAAGUCUGAUGUGAAAGCCCACGGCUUAACCGUGGAAGGUCAUUGGAGACUGGGAAUCUUGAGUGCAGUAGAGGGAAGUGGAAUUCCAUGUGUAGCGGUGAAAUGCGCAGAGAUGUGGAGGAACACCAGUGGCGAAGGCGACUUUCUGGUCUGUAACUGACGCUGAUGUGCGAAAGCGUGGGGACCAAACAGG
rnacentral:rRNA from 1 species